rnacentral:rRNA from 1 species
GGUUUAAACCACACUGCGCAACGAAAGUGAGCCUUGCCAAACUAGCAGCAAGGGCCGCGUCAGCGAGCUCAGCACAUAUGUUGGGACCCGAAAGAUGGUGAACUAUGCUUGGGAAAGGCGAAGCCAGGGGAAACUCUGGUGGAGGCUUGUAGAGAUUCUGACGUGCAAAUCGUUCUUCUAACCUGAGUAUAGGGGCGAAAGACUAAUCGAACCAUCUAGUAGCUGGUUCCCUCCGAAAUUUCCCUCAGGAUAGCUGGAACAGUGCAGUUUUAUCGGGUAAAGCGAAUGAUUAGAGGUUCGGGAGUUG